rnacentral:rRNA from 1 species
CAGCAGCCGCGGUAAUACGAAGGGUGCAAGCGUUACUCGGAAUUACUGGGCGUAAAGCGUGCGUAGGUGGUGGUUUAAGUCCGUUGUGAAAGCCCUGGGCUCGACCUGGGAAUUGCAGUGGAUACUGGGUCACUAGAGUGUGGUAGAGGAUAGUGGAAUUUCCGGUGUAGCAGUGAAAUGCGUAGAGAUCGGAAGGAACAUCUGUGGCGAAGGCGACUAUCUGGGCCAACACUGACACUGAGGCACGAAAGCGUGGGGAGCAAACAGGAUUAGAUACCCGCGUAGUCCCUGUCUCUUAUAC